rnacentral:snoRNA from 12 species
UCAUCAGAUGGGAUAAUCCUUACCGGUUCCUCCUUAUGGAGGGCAGUUUAGCAAAGGAUGAUUGGAGUUUGCGUGAUACAUGAUUAUAUGUCUCUGCAUAAUCAGGACUUGCGACACCCUGAUUGCUCCUAUCUGAU